rnacentral:rRNA from 1 species
GACGAACGUUGGCGGCGUGCUUAAUACAUGCAAGUCAACUGAAGCAGUGGUAGCAAUAUCGCUGUGGAGGUGGCGCACGGGUGAGUAACACGUAGGUAAUCUGCCUUCAGGUCUGGCAUAACUCCGGGAAACCGGGGCUAAUAGCAGAUGAUGCAGCGGCUCGACAUCGAGACAGUUGUUAAAGCUAUGGCGCCUGAAGAUGAGCCUGCGUCUGAUUAGCUAGUUGGCGGGGUAACGGCCCACCAAGGCAACGAUCAGUAGCUGGUCUGAGAGGAUGAUCAGCCACACUGGAACUGAGACACGGUCCAGACUCCUACGGGAGGCAGCAGUAAGGAAUAUUGCUCAAUGGGAGAAAUCCUGAAGCAGCAACGCCGCGUGAGGGACGAAGGGCUUUUGCUUGUAAAGCUCUGUAGUGGGAGAAAAAAAUCCCAAUCUUUGGGACAUGAUGGUAUCUCAAAAGUAAGCCCCGGCUAACUACGUG